UACUAGAGUGCUCUGCACACAGUCAGUACUCGAUGAGUAUGACUGACUGACUGGCUGAUAAGGGCCGGGAGUCAGGGUCUAGGAGCCAAUGUGGCCUGGGGCUGGGGGCCCGGGGGCCAGGAGCUGGCAGUAUCGGGAAUGGUUGGCCUGAAGCUGGGGGCCGGGAAGGCCGGAGCCGGUGGGGAGCGUGUCAGCCGGCCAACAAAGAGCCUUUCUCUGCGUUGGAACGGCCGGGAUGGGUCUCCUCUGUGCGACUGCCUGCCCCAGCUCAAAUGACGUCCGAUGUCCCGGGUCUGACAGUGCCCAUUGUGCCAGGAAGCCCCUCCCCUCCCCACACCUCAGGCCGCCCUGAAGAGGCAGGGCAGAGAAGGAGCCGCAGCCGGCGUGGCUACUGCCGGGGACCCUCUGCCUCCGGCCCCCACGGCUUGCCAGGAUCAGGGUUCCCGGGUGGAAGGGCCAGCAUGGCCUCUCCAGCUGGGGAAGAGGUGGGGAAGGGGCUGGCGGCACAGAGCAGAGGCAUCGAAACCAGAGAAGACUUCGCUCCGCGCUGCUUCAGCCAGGUGAUGUGAGCGGGCCAGCCAGCUGGAGACGGAGGAUAGGCCCCUGACCCAGACACCCCGGUCCCAUAGCCCCCGGUCCCCAGCCCCUGGCUCCCUGCCCCCCCAGCCUUCAUCCCCUCAGUCCCCCGGCUCCUGACUCUCCACCCCUUGGCCCCCACCACCAUGCCCCCAGCCCUCAGACUACUAGCUCUCCAGGUGCCCUGGAGACAGGGGAACUGACCUCGGUGAGCAGAAACACUCUAGCCUCCUGUUCUCCACACUCCCCUGGAUACCAGGGGACUGGGCCCCACAACCCCUCAUCGACCUCCGGCCACCAUGCAGGUGUUGGCGACCCCCAUGUAUGCCCACCCCGAGGAGCCCCCUCUCCCCCAGGUGGAUGGUACCCCCUGCAGGCUGCUCCCAGUCAGGGCUUUCAGCACGGAACUCAAGAGGCACGUGACGCUGCUGGACCGGGUGCAGGGUCGUUGCUUGGCUGCUUCCAAGAGGGCUCGGGUUUGUAUCGUGCUCCUGAUGCCCGGGACUGAGCUUGUCCAGCCAGCGGAGGCCCGGACUGUGGAGGUCCGGACCUCAGAGGCCCAGCCCGCGGAGGUGCAGACUGUGGAGGCACAGACGAUGGAGGCCUGGUCCAUGCAGGCCCAAACUGCGGAGGCCCAGAUUGCAGAGGCCCGGUCCAUGAAGAUCCAGCCAGUGGAGCCUCCAACUGUGAAAGCCCAGCUUACGGAGGCCCAGACUGCCGAGGCCUGGUCCACAGAAGUCCAGACCAUGGAGGCCCAGCCUGCGGAGGCCAGGCCCAGCAAAUAUGAGAUUGUCGUCAGCCGGCUCUGUGUGGAGGCAGGUGCCCGCCAUGCUUGCAGAGGGGAACCAGACGAGGGUCAGUCUCGCUCAGGUAGUAAUAAUAAUAUUAAUAAUUAUGAUAUGUGUUAAGCACUUACUAUGUGCCAGUAAGUGUUGGGGUAGAUACAAGCCAAUUGGGUUGGACACAGUCCCUAUCCCCUGUGGGGCUCACAGGUUCAGUCCCCAUUUUACAGAUGAGUUAAC
rnacentral:lncRNA from 1 species